rnacentral:rRNA from 1 species
CCUACGGGAGGCAGCAGGGCGGAAUCUUGCGCAAUGCCCGAAAGGGUGACGCAGCGACGCCGCGUGAGGGAUGAAGCCCUUCGGGGUGUAAACCUCUUUUGUGAGGGAAGAAUAAUGACGGUACCCCACGAAUAAGCUCCGGCCAAUUACGUGCCAGCAGCCGCGGUAAAACGUAAGGAGCGAACGUUGUCCGGAUUCACUGGGCGUAAAGGGUACGCAGGCGGUGGGGAAAGUCGGAUGUGAAAGCCCCGGGCUCAACCCGGGGAGGACAUCCGAUACUUCUCCACUUGAGGAAGGGAGAGGGAAGCGGAAUUCCCGGUGUAGCGGUGAAAUGCGCAGAUAUCGGGAGGAACACCAGUGGCGAAGGUGGCUUCCUAUCCCUUUCCUGACGCUCAGGUACGAAAGCUAGGGGAGCGAACC